CUACAUUUAUAUUUAGGGCACCGGCUGAAAAGGUGGAUUGGAUAUCUGCAGAGGAGAUUCAAAAGGAACCUCAGUGUGGAGGCAGAAGUUGAUUUACUCAGUUAUUGUGCAAGAGAAUGGAAAGGAGAGACACCCCAUGCCAAGCUGAUGAGGAAGG